GACGAACGCUGGCGGCGUGCUUAACACAUGCAAGUCGAACGAUGAUGCCCAGCUUGCUGGGAGGAUUAGUGGCGAACGGGCGAGUAACACGUGAGUAACCUGCCCCUGACUCUGGGAUAAGCGUUGGAAACGACGUCUAAUACUGGAUAUGACUGCCGGCCGCAUGGUCUGGUGGUGGAAAGAUUUUUUGGUUGGGGAUGGACUCGCGGCCUAACAGCUUGUUGGUGAGGUAAUGGCUCACCAAGGCGACGACGGGUAGCCGGCCUGAGAGGGUGACCGGCCACACUGGGCCUGAGACACGGCCCAGACUCCUACGGGGGCAGCAGUGGGGAAUAUUGCACAAUGGGCGAAAGCCUGAUGCAGCAACGCCGCGUGAGGGAUGACGGCCUUCGGGUUGUAAACCUCUUUUAGUAGGGAAGAAGCGAAAGUGACGGUACCUGCAGAAAAAGCACCGGCUAACUACGUGCCAGCAGCCGCCGCCG
rnacentral:rRNA from 1 species